ACAGCCACAUCAUGUUGAAACACCAGUUCUCAUACGAUCACGAAAGUUAAGCAAUGUCAAGCAUGGUCAGUACCUAGAUGGGUGACUGCUUGAGAAUAACAGGUGCUGUAA